GGCGGUUGCUCGUUUUCGUUUAACCGCCAAAAGCAAUGCCGCGCGUUUCUUUCCCUCCAGUUCCUCGCACUGCCCUCGCAAUUCUCUGGCGAAGAGACCCGAGGGAUUUUUUGAAACGUGGAAGACUGGAAGGCUUUCUGCAUGGUCUUCGUUGAUAUUUCCGGCAACCGUUUCAGCGGAAGGAAAGCUGUUGUAGGAGGACUAAGGCAUCUUUCUAUUAGUUUUCUUUUUUCUCUCUUAGAUGGUGGUUUUGACUGGACGAGUUUUUUUUUUUUUUUUUUUCCCUGUUAGGCCUUUCUUUACCUUCUCUUUUUUGAAGAUUUUUCGAGUUAGUAGUCCAUAUAGUGAAUGACAUGAAUUUGGGUUUCUUAAUUUGGAAAUUGUGGAUGUUAUGCUUAUUAUUCUCUUCUUUCUGUUAGCGAUCUCUAGUUCUGGGCGGGGAAGAUCGUUUUGCUAAGGGGUAGAUUCCUUUCGUUUCACAAUUGAGAAGUUUUUCCUCUGUUUAUCCCUUUUUGAAAUUGAGAAAUAAUUAGGGAUCGAGAUGUGUCUGGUUAAUUGUGUUUGCUUGGUGGGUGCAUUUUUUUGUUCAUCAAGCUAUUCGGAAGUGCUUGUUUAGUAGCUAUGAGCUCGUGUGGAACUGUCGCUGUUUGCUCGAUGUCCUCGGUAUUGACGUGGAGUGAGAUUGUUGUGGACUCGUGGGAGUUGGCUUUACAUUUUUCUUUUUCGUCUCGUCAGCUUUGAAGGGGCUGAUGUUCAGAUGGACAUCGGAUUUCUGGGUGAAAUUUUGAGGAAAAUCUCCUGAUAAUAGAAUCUCUCCUCGAUCUUGGAAAUACCAGAGGCGUGAACGGCGUUCUUCUCAUGAUGCUUCAUGUAGGAGAGAUUAUCACAGUUCCAUGUCUUUUCUCUGUCUUCGGCUACUCUUGUCUACUUUUGAGGUGUAGGUCUCUUAUUUUCGUGAGCGCAUCUUAACUGAUGAUCUGUAUCAAGAUCAAUUGGCAAUUAUCAGAUGAUUCUUUUGUUCUAGUUUCCCCUUGUGCUGUCCUCAACAAGCAUUUGUUUACAUUUAACGUAGAAACUUUUGAGACCUACUUCUGAUUUUCGUGUAAAUCCAUCUUUCUCUUUGCACUGCUAAACAUGGUGUUUGUUUAUUGGGGCAUAAGAAACUCUGAGAGAGGGAGUUUUAUCUUAUUAUUAACUGUGCAAUAUGUUCCUGCUAUGUCACUCAUUUCUUUCCUCUAAGUAGGGUGGGAAGAUAACUAUCAUUCGAUGCCCAAAUCUCCUGCAUUAGAGUCCAAUACCCCACUUUCUGUAUUUAUGAUUUUAGCAUAGCAAUGUUCUUCAACAAAUCAGCAGCUACUAUAACCAUUUGGUAAUUUAGGAGAAGAGCAGGUGCUAGGUCCAAAACUAGCAGAACCCAGAAACUAGCACGUAUAACAACUUCUCUAGGAUUUGAGGAUCAACGACAAUGCCAAAUGAUUGUGGUAUUCUUAAGGUGAUAAAAUACCUUCUUUUGGGAUUUGGAAGGGUGUCCGGGAGGGCUUAUUGAUGUGAUGCUGCGGAAGCCUGAAAAACAAUUUGCCUCUUUGGUUAUGAUUUAUACCUAGUGCCAGUUUUCCUUAAUUUGAUUGUGUCAGACUAAGUUUUAUUCCUAUGCAGAUAGUAGUGGUUAUUUGAAGCACCAGUGGGCAUCGUCAAUUAGGGAAAUGCCAAGGCAUUUCGUUGAGGAAAAAAUGGACCAAGGAAAUGGAUAAGGAUUUUCAUGGCACCAAAUCUUCGAUAUUUUUGUGAAGCAGUAGUCUUCUAUUCCUUGAGAAAAGAAUUUCUAUCCAUCAAAUUGGAUGUGCUCUUUAGACCUUGUUGCUUCUCUUUCAGAACUUCUCACAUAAUCUGAGGAACUUUUAAGCAUAUUUAAUCAGUGUGCUCACAUUUUUGCCUUUAAUUCUGGAAAACACACAAUAAUAUUUUAAGGCUGUAUGAAUCUAGAGUUUAUUUCUGGCGUAUAUCUGUACGCUGUUAAAUUCAGAGUGGUGACUUUUCUGACAAGGUAAGGGCUGGGUGUUCUGUCAAUGAUAAGUUUCUUUGACAGGUCAAUUUGACAGUUUUCAACAUUGACAUGGAAACAAAAUGAACGCAUUAUGGAUAGAGGCUAGUAUUAUGUGUUCACAUUCAACAAUCCUAGGAGAGAUUAUGGCUCCCUUUAUUAUCAUCCAGUUUUGCUGGUUUAUCUAAUAUUUUUUUUAGUAUGUGACUGCACAAACGAGUGGUUCUUCAGUGACAGCUUCUUUAGUGAUAGCUAAUCGGACACUAUAUAAUUGUAGUAAGUCAAUUACGUUUAAUGACAAUGAACAAUAAAUAAUUCAUGGUCGCGUAAGACAUUUUUGUAAUGGGUUGUGGUAUCAUGUCAAAGCUUCAGAAAAUUUGCUGCUAGAAUAAUGAUUUCUGUGCUUGUUCGCAAAGAUUUGCUAUAAGCCAAAAUAGAAAUUUGCAGCUCUGACGAUGUGUUAUUUAAGGUCAAAUUCUUCCGUUAGUGUUCAUGCAAAACCUCCCCUGUUCGUUGUUUAAGAAGCAUUAUCUCCUGUAUUGGAUGUAUUCUUUUGCUGGUUUGGAUUUAGGAUUUUAUGUCCGCUAUGAGCUAACAUGCUUUUCGUGGGGACCUAUGCAAGGGUGACUGGUUGGUAAUAACUGCAAACGACCUGGAGCUUUGUUAAGGGUUGCCCAAAUGUUGCAGUUUGUGACAUCUUCUGCUUCCUGGGUCAGUUUGUAAAUUUGAACUGAUUUUUGAAUUGGGAAGCCUGCAUAUACAUUUAUGUGGUCAUCUGGCGCUGCAAGGGUUGGAUAUGUUGUCAACAUGUUGAGUAACCCGGUCCGUCCAAAGUCAAUGUAAAUGAUGAGUUAGAGUUACUGAGAGGGCAGAAAGCUUUGUUCAGAUUAAACAUGAAAGUUGCCAGUGGCUAAUUGCUCUUUCUUUUUUUCCCCCUUAAAAGGCAUAUUGCUUCUGAGUGCACCACAGAGCCCAUAUAUUCAAAUUGCCAUGAACCGGGGGAUAUGGCCAGCCGGUCCUCAGUUGAGCCUCUGUCAUAUACGUGAUAGCCUGAUAGGGCUGGUCGCUAACAAGAGGAAUGGUUAUCUUCCUGGUGACGUGAUACUUUCCAACUACUGCUACAAGCAAGCGGCACACAGCAGCUGCAUGCACCAAUCAGGGAACAUUUUAUGUAUGCUGGAUCACUUGGCAUGAGAUUUCACUAACAAACCUAAUUAUAAUGUUUUCGGGUCGUCAUACAGCACUGCCCAAAUUGGGACCUGAUGUUGGUGCAAGUUUUGGGGUUGUUAUUUGCCGCUUAUGUUAUCAUCCUGGUCACAUCGGUCUAGAUUGUGGGGCAUCAAUCAUGUGCAACAGCUGUGGUAGCUGUUGUCACUUUGCAUAUCAGUGCCAAUCUGAUCAGAUGUAUGAGCAUCGGCUCUGCAGGGCGCUGGUGUUGAUUGACAACGAGCUGCUUGAAGCCUUAUCCUUCAGCAAUUUAUCUGGCGGCUUUGGAUGGUUCUUCCGAAUUCUUUGUUUAGAAGCUAGUAGCUACUGGCUUCAUGGCUCGCUGAAGCUGCUGAUUGAAGCAUGCAGAACUUAAAUUGCUAUUUUGAACAGAACAGUUGCCAGGUUAUCGUGAUCAUGUUUUUUGUGCACGCUCCUAAGAAUCAAGAUGGAGAAGAUCUCCUUUAAGAUCUCCCCAGAUUUGAGUGACUUGGAAUGGUCUCUGCGUUUUAACUUUGAAGAACGGCUAAAAGAAAGCCCACUUGUGUUUGUCUGUUUGAUGUCUUCUUGAUUAAGGAAAUCCUUGGCCGGGGUUUCAACUUAGUAGAUUUCAUCAAAGGGGCGAUUGCAGUUUCUGCUCCCGCCGGGUUGAUUAGGACCUCCCCUGAUGAUAACCUUGGUUCUGCCUGAAUGGACUGUACUUUGUAUAAAGGAGGUUCAACAUGGGAGAAAUGGUGGUGGCGCACUUUCGGACAUAAGCAUAUUGAUAAUAUCAUCACUAAUGAACCUUCAAGGCCAAGUGGGUUACUGACAGCAUUCUUUGUUCCCAAAUCCCAUCCUGCUACAGGUAUAGCCUCAGGUACAUUUGCGCAAUACCCAAUUUGGCCCAAGCCUAUUGUCAUGGUUUUGGGAAAAACAAAAACAGUUUCUGGUGUUACUUUUUGGACGAUAGAUGAUUGAGCUCAUGUGCUUCAGUCUUGGCGGAAUGGCGUUCAUGAGCAGUUUGGAUUCAUGUAGUUCGUCGUGUUCGGAUUGAUUCCAAGAGUCUGCCUGCCUGCUUUCUCUUUAUGUGCUUUUGUGGUCAUCCCAAGCAUAUCUGAGAAAGGUGGAAAGGAUGCAUAAUUUAAUAUUAGGAGCCAUAAAUUCUUUCAGAUCUUCGUAAAGUUCAUAAUAAUUCUUUCC